rnacentral:lncRNA from 1 species
GGGAGUGUGGUCGCAGACGCAAUGGCCUUCCCCACAAUAAGUUAGUAGUGAGUACGGAUCACGCGAUGACGUUUAAGCAAUGACAUUCAGCUUUGUACGCCACUGUUGUGUGCAAGUCGGCUCAAGUCGCUCCACUCCGAGUGUAACAGUUGGUGUCACAACUUGAAAUCGGAGCUCUUUCCUUUUCAGUUGGAUCAGAACGCCUUACCGUCGUUCGACAGCCGGCCAAGUUUGGACACCUUGCGCUGGACUGCAGUUUCACGUUCGUUUCGGGCUCAAGAAUGGGCCAUAUCCGUUUGCUUCUAUCGUUUGCGGAAGCUGACAACCCGCCGUCUACCUCGUUCGUUCAACGUUAAUCGCCGUGCCCUGGUCGCCAGUAUGCCUGCCCGUCGUGUAGGUUGUAUGCGUGCUCGUGUUGCAGCAGCCUCCACGGCAGGAGUGCANN